GGGGCUGCCUCUGGAAUGCACACCAGGGCUUGUCCACACACACUCCCCGGCCCUCUGCGCCUCUUUAGGGAGGUUCCUGCUGCUGGAUCUGCUGCCUUCUUCACCUUGAGAGUGCAUUUAUGUAACAAGAAAACACCUGGGUGUUUUCACAGCUCUGCCCUCAUCAUGAGACCAUGCCCAGGCUAGUCUGCUGGAAGGAAGUCAGAGGCACACGGAAGAGAGCCACAUUCAGCCAAGGCCAUUCUAGACCAGUUGUUCCCUGUCACUUCACUAAUUGGCCACAGCAC
rnacentral:lncRNA from 1 species